ensembl:lncRNA
AGUCGGCUCAGACCCUAAUGAAGAUAUCCUUCAUUUCAUAUAAGUGUAAAACACCUGAAUGACAUAAUUCGGAGGUUUAGCUCAGUGCAGCGGCGGCCUGUGGGCUCCAUAGCGUAGGCUUAUGUAACCUUUGUGCCAUUAUGCCGUGAUGCCCGGCUUACGGAAAGCACGUGUGCAGAAGUCGAUACCCAUAAGGCUGUGAUGAUUGCGAGGGAUCUUUGCAGGUAUGUGUUCACAAGGAUUAUGCAAAUGAGGUCCCGCUUAGCAGAUGAGGAUGCGGGAUCCUAGGGAGGAACGUGCUCUAUAUGGGACAAGAAGCUCAGGGCGGAAGCUGUAAACAAAGAGACAUCAAAGUAGGACACAAUGAGAAACACCCACAGGUCAUAUUUGCCUCCACUUACAGUUUCCUGUUUCUACCUAUUCCUCUUGCAUAACCCUCGUGUUUUGUUUUGAGAUACCGGGCCUGGAUGUACAUGGUGCACGUCAGGUUCAUGGGAGACUCCAGUCGCAUUAGCUUUGUUGGAUUAAGCUGCAAAGAUGUUUAUUUUCUAAAGCAAUGAAAGAGUGAAUUAAUGAAUUAUAGUACACAAUGAAAAGAAAAGAACAGAUCAGUGAACAGAUGAGAAAAUCUCAUGUUUAUAUACUGAAGAAAGAAUAUCACAUUUUAAAUGUGGUAUCUCUUUCUCACCCUAUCACACUCUUCUUGGCUUUUGGCAAAGAAAAACACACUUAAUAUUGAUUAUGCAAAGCAUGUCAAACACACAGAAUGCUUUUGAUGGUAGAAUUGAUGCUACUAACCUCACUGCGAAGCAUGUUCGUGGUCGUUCUAAAAGUAGAGAACUGGCCAAUUGCAAUCAAGCACAUUUGAGUGUGCAUUUUUUUUAAACGGUGCUUGAAGAUGCGCUCACACUCACACAUCCACAAAAAGGAACAGGGUCUCAUUAUAUCUUAGUUGUGCCCUGCGGCAGGGUGAGUAUUUACACAGUUAUUCAGAGGAGUGACUGUGUUCGACCGCGAGCAAAUUAGUUUGCACCCUGAGGGCUCAGUCGAUGGCAGCCUCAGGAGCUCUGUGUGUGCCUGUGAGUGUCUCUGUGCAGAUCAUUACAUUGUAACCGAAUCUGUGUCCGUGUUGACUGGAGGCGGAGGACAUCCCACAUGCCCCUAUGCAAAAUAAAUGGAGAACUUAUUAAAGGGCAAAGGUCGCCAAUGUGUCAGCAGCGUGUAUCAAGUUUACCUGCUUGUGUUCCUCCGCCUCCUCUGCGCUCUCUCUUCAGUCCAACAUCAACUUAUAUACACUUGCCUCUUUACAUUCCCCCUCUCCUCUCGCUCUCGCUGUGUACGUACUGUUGCAGCUGUUGCUCUUUUUAACUUCAGUAGGCCCGUUGGCUGCUGGUGAUAAAUUGGACACUGGGUGUAAAUAGAUGUUCUGUUUUCAUGGGAGGGUUUUCCCUGACUUGGAGACACCGCAGCUGAUUACAAUACUC